CCGGCCGUUCCCCAGCCGGGCUUUCCCGGGGCUCCCUGCCCCUGGUCUGCAACUCCCCACACUCCCCGAUUCGGCAUUUGGGGGAGGGGUUCCAGUGCGGGGCGGAGGCGCCCCGUCAUACCGCCAUUAUGAAAAUGGGUGAAGACCAAGCUCUGAAGUGAGCCAAAGUGUAUGUGGUUCAUGGAUUCUUUCAGUUUAGUUUGAUUUAGGUUGACAUAGGUGUGAAGAACAUGUUGGACACACGACUUCAGCAGAGUUCAUGGAUUUGAGCUGUGGUGGCUUCAUCUCAUAAGCAAAAAGCAUCAGGAUAAGGCUCAGCAUCUGAGUUGAAAAGCAGAAUGUGGCACUACAGUAUAAGGCACAGGUACUGCAGACCUUUUUGCAUGUCAGUAAAAGCCCCAGAGUUACCAAAACGUGCCAAAAUGCUAGCAGGUUUAAAAC